GGCUAGCUCAGUUCGUACAGCGGGCGCCCAUGUAUGGCUAAGGCUGAGUCUUAGCCGCGGUCGACCCGGGUUCGAAUCCGGACCUGUGGACCUUUGCCGCAUCUCUCUCUCUCUGUUUCCCCUCAUUCCAUGACUCUUAGUCACCAAAAAAAAAAAAAAGGUCUAUAGCAUGUUAGGUAUGUUAGGAAUGUUAGCUUAGUAUAGUGCGUGAUGAAAAAAAUAGUGCGUGAUGAAAAGAUUUCGUGAUAAGUCAGGAUGUUAGGUAUGUUAGGAAUGUUAGCUUAGUAUAGUGCGUGAUGAAAAAAGUCGUGUUAAAAAAAAAAAAAAAAAAAAGUCAAUAGUAUAGCAUGUUAGGUAUGUUAGGAAUGUUAGCCAAGUAUAGUGCGUGAUGAAAAGAUUUCGUGAUAAGUCAGGAUGUUAGGUUAGGUUUUUUAAAAAAA